UAAUACGUAGGUGGCAAGCGUUGUCCGGAUUUACUGGGCGUAAAGGGCGUGCAGGCGGUUUGUUAAGUCUAGGGUGAAAGCUCCCGGCUCAACUGGGAGAGGUCCUUGGAUACUGGCGAACUUGAGGGAUGCAGAGGAAAGUGGAAUUCCCGGUGUAGUGGUGAUAUGCGUAGAUAUCGGGAGGAACACCAGUGGCGAAGGCGGCUUUCUGGGCAUUUCCUGACGCUGAGACGCGAAAGCGUGGGGAGCGAACCGGAUUAGAUACCCGGGUAGUCCACGCCGUAAACGAUGGACACUAGGUGUAGGGGGUAUCGACCCCCUCUGUGCCGUAGCUAACGCAAUAAGUGUCCCGCCUGGGGAGUACGGCCGCAAGGCUA
rnacentral:rRNA from 1 species